GGGCUUUGGGCGCAUGCUUACCAUGCAGUCGAACGGCAGCACGGAGCUUGCUCUGGUGGCGAGUGGCGAACGGGUGAGUAAUAUAUCGGAACGUACCCUGGAGUGGGGGAUAACGUAGCGAAAGUUACGCUAAUACCGCAUACGAUCUAAGGAUGAAAGUGGGGGAUCGCAAGACCUCAUGCUCGUGGAGCGGCCGAUAUCUGAUUAGCUAGUUGGUAGGGUAAAAGCCUACCAAGGCAUCGAUCAGUAGCUGGUCUGAGAGGACGACCAGCCACACUGGAACUGAGACACGGUCCAGACUCCUACGGGAGGCAGCAGUGGGGAAUUUUGGACAAUGGGCGAAAGCCUGAUCCAGCAAUGCCGCGUGAGUGAAGAAGGCCUUCGGGUUGUAAAGCUCUUUUGUCAGGGAAGAAACGGUGAGAGCUAAUAUCUCUUGCUAAUGACGGUACCUGAAGAAUAAGCACCGGCUAACUACGUGCCAGCAGCCGCGGUAAUACGUAGGGUGCAAGCGUUAAUCGGAAUUACUGGGCGUAAAGCGUGCGCAGGCGGUUUUGUAAGUCUGAUGUGAAAUCCCCGGGCUCAACCUGGGAAUUGCAUUGGAGACUGCAAGGCUAGAAUCUGGCAGAGGGGGGUAGAAUUCCACGUGUAGCAGUGAAAUGCGUAGAUAUGUGGAGGAACACCGAUGGCGAAGGCAGCCCCCUGGGUCAAGAUUGACGCUCAUGCACGAAAGCGUGGGGAGCAAACAGGAUUAGAUACCCUGGUAGUCCACGCCCUAAACGAUGUCUACUAGUUGUCGGGUCUUAAUUGACUUGGUAACGCAGCUAACGCGUGAAGUAGACCGCCUGGGGAGUACGGUCGCAAGAUUAAAACUCAAAGGAAUUGACGGGGACCCGCACAAGCGGUGGAUGAUGUGGAUUAAUUCGAUGCAACGCGAAAAACCUUACCUACCCUUGACAUGGCUGGAAUCCUUGAGAGAUUGAGGAGUGCUCGAAAGAGAACCAGUACACAGGUGCUGCAUGGCUGUCGUCAGCUCGUGUCCUGAGAUGUUGGGUUAAGUCCCGCAACGAGCGCAACCCUUGUCAUUAGUUGCUACGAAAGGGCACUCUAAUGGAAACUGCCGGUGACAAACCGGAAGAAAGUGGGGGAUAAACAUCAAGUCCUCCUGGGCCCUUAUGGGGGAGGGCUUCCACCCCCCAAACAAAGGGUACAUUACAAGAAGGCCCCA
rnacentral:rRNA from 1 species